CCAAGUUUUAAUUAAGAAAAAUGGGUGUCAAAUGCAGAUACAGAAUAACGAGUGCAUGAUAAAAAUUUAUGCAGCAAAACAAAAUUAUUACAAAUCCCUUACAAAAUAUGUAUGAGGACUAAUACAUAUAUAUACUAAGGCCUGAAGUGGCCAUAAAAUACAAAAUCAAAACAUAAAGACCACUCCUUUCAUUUGGCUAUUGAACUCAUCAGAGUGUGGGAAUAGACAUGCACUCAGACUUGUGGAUCCACGAGAUCCUCAUAGACUUUCAAGGGUAGGUCAGCUUGCGGUUCCUCACUUUCUUCCUCAUCUGGAGGCAUGGAAAGAGUGAGUUUUAUAUUGUCAGUAAAAAAAAUAAUUUUAAAUUAACAUUGUAAGGUUUCAAAAGUGAUUAUAAAAGCUUACCGUUUAACCACCUCAUAUACCUAUCUCAUAUUAUGAAAGUAAUUUGUUUAUUAAGAAAAUAGUACGUUAAUACAGACAAUCAAACAUAUGUCAUGCCAGAUAAU
rnacentral:lncRNA from 1 species